AGAGUUUGAUCAUGGCUCAGAUUGAACGCUGGCGGCAGGCCUAACACAUGCAAGUCGAGCGCGAAAGGCUUUCGGGCUGAGUAGAGCGGCGGACGGGUGAGUAACGCGUAGGAAUCUACCUGGUAGUGGGGGACAACUCGGGGAAACUCAAGCUAAUNCCGCAUACGCCCUAUGGGGGAAAGCGGGGGACCUUCGGGCCUCGCGCUAUCAGAUGAGCCUGCGUAGGAUUAGCUAGUUGGUGAGGUAAAGGCUCACCAAGGCGACGAUCCUUAGCUGGUCUGAGAGGAUGAUCAGCCACACUGGGACUGAGACACGGCCCAGACUCCUACGGGAGGCAGCAGUGGGGAAUAUUGC
rnacentral:rRNA from 1 species